GAUGAACGCUGGCGGCGUGCCUAAUACAUGCAAGUCGAGCGAACAGACGAGGAGCUUGCUCCUCUGACGUUAGCGGCGGACGGGUGAGUAACACGUGGAUAACCUACCUAUAAGACUGGGAUAACUUCGGGAAACCGGAGCUAAUACCGGAUAAUAUAUUGAACCGCAUGGUUCAAUAGUGAAAGACGGUUUUGCUGUCACUUAUAGAUGGAUCCGCGCCGCAUUAGCUAGUUGGUAAGGUAACGGCUUACCAAGGCGACGAUGCGUAGCCGACCUGAGAGGGUGAUCGGCCACACUGGAACUGAGACACGGUCCAGACUCCUACGGGAGGCAGCAGUAGGGAAUCUGCCGCAAUGGGCGAAAGCCUGACGGAGCAACGCCGCGUGAGUGAUGAAGGUCUUCGGAUCGUAAAACUCUGUUAUUAGGGAAGAACAAAUGUGUAAGUAACUAUGCACGUCUUGACGGUACCUAAUCAGAAAGCCACGGCUAACCACGUG
rnacentral:rRNA from 1 species